rnacentral:tRNA from 1 species
GUUUUCGUAAUGUAAUCGGUAACAGGUUCGGCUGCCAAUCGGAAAAUCCGCAGUUCAAAAGUCGGUGAAGACA